rnacentral:rRNA from 1 species
AAACCAGCACCUCAAGUGGUCAGGAGGAUUAUUGGGCCUAAAGCAUCCGUAGCCUGCUGCAUAAGUUUUCGGUUAAAUCCAUACGCUCAACGUAUGGGCUGCCGGGAAUACUGUGCAGCUAGGGAGUGGGAGAGGUAGACGGUACUCGGUAGGAAGGGGUAAAAUCCUUUGAUCUAUUGAUGACCACCUGUGGCGAAGGCGGUCUACCAGAACACGUUCGACGGUGAGGGAUGAAAGCUGGGGGAGCAAACCGGAUUAGAAACCCCUGUAGUCC